rfam:Gemmatimonadetes bacterium SCN 70-22 ABS52_C0001, whole genome shotgun sequence.
CGCGUGUUUCGCUGCGGCGGAGCUCGACCGCCUGACGAAGUAGCCGCGUCGUACGCGACGAUGUACGCGUGCAUCGAGGCGGAGCGGGACACCUACGGCGUCGCGCCGAUCUGCGCAGUGCUGGAGAUCGCGCCG